AUUGAACACUGGCGGAAUGCUUUACACAUGCCAGUCGAACGGCAGCACGGGGGCAGCCCUGGUGGCGAGUGGCGAACGGGUGAGUAAUACAUCGGAACGUGCCCGGUCGUGGGGGAUAACGUAGCGAAAGUUACGCUAAUACCGCAUACGAUCUGAGGAUGAAAGCGGGGGACCUUCGGGCCUCGCGCGAUCGGAGCGGCCGAUGUCAGAUUAGGUAGUUGGUGGGGUAAAGGCCUACCAAGCCGACGAUCUGUAGCUGGUCUGAGAGGACGACCAGCCACACUGGGACUGAGACACGGCCCAGACUCCUACGGGAGGCAGCAGUGGGGAAUUUUGGACAAUGGGCGCAAGCCUGAUCCAGCCAUUCCGCGUGCAGGACGAAGGCCUUCGGGUUGUAAACUGCUUUUGUACGGAACGAAAAGGCUCUGGCUAAUACCUGGGGCUCAUGACGGUACCGUAAGAAUAAGCACCGGCUAACUACGUG
rnacentral:rRNA from 1 species